AUACGUAGGGGGCGAGCGUUGUCCGGAAUUAUUGGGCGUAAAGCGCGCGCAGGCGGUCCCUUAAGUCUGAUGUGAAAGCCCACGGCUCAACCGUGGAGGUUCAUUGGAAACUGGGGGACUUGAGUGCAGAAGAGGAGAGCGGAAUUCCACGUGUAGCGGUGAAAUGCUUAGAGAUGUGGAGGAACACCAGUGGCGAAGGCGGCUCUCUGGUCUGUAACUGACGCUGAGGCGCGAAAGCGUGGGGAGCAAACAGGAUUAGAUACCCUGGUAGUCCACGCCGUAAACGAUGAGUGCUAAGUGUUAGAGGGGUCAAACCCUUUAGUGCUGUAGCUAACGCGUUAAGCACUCCGCCUGGGGAGUACGGCCGCAAGGCUGAA
rnacentral:rRNA from 1 species